rnacentral:lncRNA from 10 species
GCAUGUCAUAUUUACUGGCCACUAUAAUGAGAAAAUUCUCCAAUUUUAAAUCCAGGUUAAUUGUGAAACUUUGGGUAGUCACAGAAAAAAAUCUCUGUGUACAAAUUUAUAGACCUCUUAUUAGGAUUAAGUGAGGUAUGAAUAACUAAUAUUUAUAUUAGUUAGCGUAUGGCAGAAGCUUCUUGUGUAUUAUUUUAUUUCAUACUUAAAACAAUAUUCUAUGCAAAAUGCUAUAAUUUCCCCUUGCCUCCAAUUUACACAUGAUAAAACUGAGCCUAGUAAAAUUAAGUAUCAUGCCCCAAAGUUCUCUGCUUAGUAAGAAGUAGAGGCAAGCCCAAACCUAAGUCAUCUGAUUUCAGAGCCCAUACAGUUAAAUGCUCUAAAUGCAGCUUCCCGUGAUGAUGGUGACUAUGAGAGCCUGUCACAUAUGAUGUAGGACAGUGCUUCCCUGUAACAUGCACAAGAUUCCCGUGAUGAUGGUGAUUAUGAGAGCCUGUCACCUACGAUGUAGGACAGUCCUUCCCUGUAACAUGCACAAGAUUCCUGUGAUGAUGGUGACUAUGAGAGCCUGUCACAUGAUGUAGGACAGUGCUUCCCUGUAACAUGUGCAAGAUUCCCGUGAUGAUGGUGACUAUGAGAGCCUGUCACAUAUGAUGUAGGACAGUGCUUCCCUGUAACAUGUGCAAGAUUCCCAUGAUGAUGGUGACUAUGAGAGCCUGUCACAUAGGAUGUAGGACAGUGCUUCCCUGUAACAUGCACAAGAUUCACCCAGGGAUCUCUUUAAAAUGCAAAACCAUAGACCACACUUUGACUGGCUUGGAUAAGGGGUCAGAGCAUCGAAAUGAGUGUGUAGGUGACUGUGCUAAAAUUCUCCUGCUCAUGUGGGCACUGGCUCAUGAUAUUAACAAAGCUUAGGACCUCUAGUCCUUUCUGGAAAGAAAAUACACAUACAUAGCAUGUGACUGUGCAUAUGGAAUAUCUGUUGUGUUCUGGACAUUGUGCUGGACAACAGAGAUAAGAAGUCAAAUAUCCCUUGUCUCUAUCUGAAAGGAGCUUCC